UUUGACAAAAACUGAAACAGGGGAUAAAACAUGCUGAAUUAUAGGUCCAAAUCGAAAGAGAACAACAAUGCAUCAUCGAAUUUCUGAAAAUACAUUCAUUUAUCUACACAGUGAUACUAUCCAUUUGAUUCAGUAAUCUGUCGCAUUUUUCCGCAAGGGCUAUUUAUAAACACAUCGUUUCUGAGAGUGGCCAAAAACAAGAACAAUUUGAUGACUCAUAAGGCAUGCAACCUAAAAAGCCGAGAGUAUCCGAAUUAACCAGGAAGUAAUUUUUGUUUACUUUUUAAAUGCCAACCUCUGUAGAUAGUAAUUUAUUUUGAGUAAACAUUGAGUGAGAAAUAAAGCCAUAGAAUACAUUCAUACCACUCAAAUUCAGCCAGUCAGAAUGAUGGGAAGGAUUGCAGAACUGAGUUUCCCUCUCACCGGACUGAUGCAGAUUCAGUAACCUAAUUGCUCAUGAUGGUUUCUGAGAGAAAAAAAACAGCUUGGUGUAAUUUGACAGUAUUUUUCAGUAUUUGACAGUGGUUCUAUCAUGCAACAGUCAUACCAUGAAGUGUCUCACAGAUUCUCUCUCAAUUCCUGAAAUAUCCAAGAUUACAGUGUAGUGCAAAGAGGAUUAAUUUUCUUGCAAUAAGAAGUAUCUGCACUUCCAAAUACCCCUUAACAGUUCCUUCAUUUUUUGAGUGAUUAUAGAGUGAAAAUGUUUCUAUAUAAAAUGUUUUCUUUUUAUGUGUAAAACUUGUCAUGAAUGGUUACAAAUACAUGCAUGGACAUUAUGAUUCCAAAUCUAUGCACAUUUUGAUUCCAAUAAUUAAAGUAUUUUAAAUUUGGUUUGAAACAGAAAUAUUGUCCUUAUGUUUGUUUCUAAACAUUAUCUGGUAUUAUUCAUGUGUAUAGUUUCCAUGUCAAUUUAAAAAAAGUCGGUUCUUUUAAAAAUGCACUCUUACUACCACAUAAGAUUUACCACAAUUAAUACUUUUGUUUUAUUAUUACAAAAAGGAUGAAUAAAUGUUGAAAACAAUGGUUCUAAUGAAGGAUGCCUACUUCUACUUGAAGGAAAUGUGCAUAAAAGACAGUAUUUCUACCAUUUGAGAUCAUAGUAGAUCACAGUAAAUCUUUAUGCAUUCACCAAUCAUUUAAUAUCUUUGCUUUUUCAGCUUAAAUACACGGUUACAAUAUUUUUAUCAAUACUUAAUAUUUUCCAAAAAUGAAUUAUUAAGUAAGUUGUUAAAGGGUUAACAGUCAAAGUAUAUGUUUGUUAUACAUGUGUAUGUAUUGAUACUGAAUAAGAGUGUCACUUUAAACAGUUGCCAUGGUAACUAUAGGGUCUAGUUUUCUUAAGAAACUGUAAUUGUUGUCUAAAAACCUUUGUAUUUGCAAUGUGAUACUUUUUAGCAUGUCUGCUUCAGUCAAUGAAAUAUUUCUGUUAUUUGUUAAUCAUUUGGUCAUACUUUGUAUACAAUUAUAUUUAUAAUUUAACCUUGAAAAUUGCUGACAAUCUCAUACUUAUAUUGAAAUAUUCAGAAUUGCUAGAUGGGUUGAAGUUCACCUUUAUUACAACUGUCAGGCAAAUCAUGGCAAGAUGUACAUAAUUCUCCUUUUUAACAAAAAGCGAUGUUUAAAGCAUUUUUUUUUUUUUUUAUUUAAUGGUUACCAUGGCAACUAAUUUUUUGUUUGCCUUUAAUCUUCCUGUUUAUAAUACUAUUAAUUGUAAAAAUGCAACAGUCAAGCAGUGAAUGGAAGAAUGUAAAUGUUCUUUGUCUUUUACCUUUUUCAAGCUCAUUCUUCAAAAUAUAAAGCAAUUUUAAAAUUUCUUAAAAAUGGACGUUUUUUCAUCAUUUUCUUAAAGUAAAAUAAUUUGCUUAAAACUUUGUUUAGGUUCUGAUAUUUAGGUAUGUGUAUUAAUUUUAUAGAAAAUAAACAAAAUGUGUUGUUUGA